rnacentral:tRNA from 1 species
UCCCGGCGCAUGAUCAAUGCACAUCAAUGAGCUUGCAACUCACUAUGAACUUCACCACAGGACCGAU